GCGGCCUUAAUCUUAAGCCACCCAACAACAGCCUUACCAGACGGGCGAGCCCGGUCAUCCUCGUAGUUGAAGGCUGGUGCAGGAGACGGCAUGAAGGGGGAGAAUCCAUCUCCAUGAUUCAUGUUGGCUGAUGAUCCACCCAUGCUCAGGAUGCGCAGCAUUUGUUGCAUGUCCUCUUCGUUCUCUAGUAUCUCGUGGCUCCUCACCCGUAUCUCCUCCAUCAAGUAGUCGUCAACGCCUCCACGGUUCUCCUGCAACCGGGACCAGUCAUCAAAAGGAUUGAGGGGAGAAGGCUGCAUGGACUGACCAAGUGCUGAGAAUUCAAAGUUUUGCUGCUGUGUUGGUCCCAAGGCUAGCAUGUUUGAGCUUCUUGAAGCUUGAGUUUGGAUUGAAGAACCAGCGAACUGUUCUUCGGGUCUCAAUGAACUCAUGUCAUAUGGCAUGGUGAUACUUUGUGAGAUGUCCUGAGGAUUGGCUGCAUAUCUUGCUGCUUGGCUCCCGUUGGACAUGUUUCUAGUUCCAUCUGC
rnacentral:sRNA from 1 species